rnacentral:rRNA from 1 species
UGAAGAGUUUGAUCAUGGCUCAGAUUGAACGCUGGCGGCAGGCCUAACACAUGCAAGUCGAACGGUAACAGGAAGCAGCUUGCUGCUUUGCUGACGAGUGGCGGACGGGUGAGUAAUGUCUGGGAAACUGCCUGAUGGAGGGGGAUAACUACUGGAAACGGUGGCUAAUACCGCAUAACGUCGCAAGACCAAAGAGGGGGACCUUCGGGCCUCUUGCCAUCAGAUGUGCCCAGAUGGGAUUAGCUUGUUGGUGAGGUAACGGCUCACCAAGGCGACGAUCCCUAGCUGGUCUGAGAGGAUGACCAGCCACACUGGAACUGAGACACGGUCCAGACUCCUACGGGAGGCAGCAGUGGGGAAUAUUGCACAAUGGGCGCAAGCCUGAUGCAGCCAUGCCGCGUGUAUGAAGAAGGCCUUCGGGUUGUAAAGUACUUUCAGCGGGGAGGAAGGUGUUGUGGUUAAUAACCGCAGCAAUUGACGUUACCCGCAGAAGAAGCACCGGCUAACUCCGUGCCAGCAGCCGCGGUAAUACGGAGGGUGCAAGCGUUAAUCGGAAUUACUGGGCGUAAAGCGCACGCAGGCGGUCUGUCAAGUCGGAUGUGAAAUCCCCGGGCUCAACCUGGGAACUGCAUUCGAAACUGGCAGGCUUGAGUCUUGUAGAGGGGGGUAGAAUUCCAGGUGUAGCGGUGAAAUGCGUAGAGAUCUGGAGGAAUACCGGUGGCGAAGGCGGCCCCCUGGACAAAGACUGACGCUCAGGUGCGAAAGCGUGGGGAGCAAACAGGAUUAGAUACCCUGGUAGUCCACGCCGUAAACGAUGUCUACUUGGAGGUUGUGCCCUUGAGGCGUGGCUUCCGGAGCUAACGCGUUAAGUAGACCGCCUGGGGAGUACGGCCGCAAGGUUAAAACUCAAAUGAAUUGACGGGGGCCCGCACAAGCGGUGGAGCAUGUGGUUUAAUUCGAUGCAACGCGAAGAACCUUACCUGGUCUUGACAUCCACGGAAGUUUUCAGAGAUGAGAAUGUGCCUUCGGGAACCGUGAGACAGGUGCUGCAUGGCUGUCGUCAGCUCGUGUUGUGAAAUGUUGGGUUAAGUCCCGCAACGAGCGCAACCCUUAUCCUUUGUUGCCAGCGGUCCGGCCGGGAACUCAAAGGAGACUGCCAGUGAUAAACUGGAGGAAGGUGGGGAUGACGUCAAGUCAUCAUGGCCCUUACGACCAGGGCUACACACGUGCUACAAUGGCGCAUACAAAGAGAAGCGACCUCGCGAGAGCAAGCGGAUCUCAUAAAGUGCGUCGUAGUCCGGAUUGGAGUCUGCAACUCGACUCCAUGAAGUCGGAAUCGCUAGUAAUCGUGGAUCAGAAUGCCACGGUGAAUUCGUUCCCGGGCCUUGUACACACCGCCCGUCACACCAUGGGAGUGGGUUGCAAAAGAAGUAGGUAGCUUAACCUUCGGGAGGGCGCUUACCACUUUGUGAUUCAUGACUGGGGUGAAGUCGUAACAAGGUAACCGUAGGGGAACCUGCGGUUGGAUCACCUCCUUACCUGAAAGAA